CCUACGGGAGGCAGCAGUGGGGAAUAUUGGACAAUGGGCGAAAGCCUGAUCCAGCAAUGCCGCGUGAGUGAUGAAGGCCUUAGGGUUGUAAAGCUCUUUUACCAGGGAUGAUAAUGACAGUACCUGGAGAAUAAGCUCCGGCUAACUCCGUGCCAGCAGCCGCGGUAAUACGGAGGGAGCUAGCGUUGUUCGGAAUUACUGGGCGUAAAGAGUACGUAGGCGGUUAUUCAAGUCAGAGGUGAAAGCCCGGGGCUCAACCCCGGAACUGCCUUUGAAACUAGAUAGCUAGAAUCUUGGAGAGGUCAGUGGAAUUCCGAGUGUAGAGGUGAAAUUCGUAGAUAUUCGGAAGAACACCAGUGGCGAAGGCGACUGACUGGACAAGUAUUGACGCUGAGGUACGAAAGCGUGGGGAGCAAACAGGAUUAGAUACCCUGGUAGUCCACGCCGUAAACGAUGAUAACUAGUUGUUCGGGCACUUGGUGCCUGAGUGACGCAGCUAACGCAUUAAGUUAUCCGCCUGGGGAGUACGGUCGCAAGAUUAAAACUUAAAUGAAUUGAACGG
rnacentral:rRNA from 1 species